rnacentral:lncRNA from 10 species
CAGGCAGGAGCAGAGCCCAGAGAGAAGGCAGGAGCCGACUUCCCAGCAGCAGUGGCAACAGCAAGUGCCCAGCUGUGCACACCGGCUCCGUCUCCCGCUCCGCUAUCCCCAUCGCCUCUUAGCUGCCAGACGGGCUACCUUGUCCUUGCCCGAGACUCAAGAGCAGGAACCGGGCACAGAGGAGCUGCGGAAGCUGGGCUGGCCGGGCCAACCCGGAAACAGCCUGAGCCCUGGGGUCCCGCAAGACCCUCAGCUGCCCCUCCUUGCUCCUCUGGGCCUUCUCCUGGGUCCCACUCCCUUGGAGAGCAGCACGGUGCCCCACGCCCAUGCCUGGCAGGAGCCCUGCGAGCACCCCCAGCUUUCCGGGUGGCCGGGCCUGGCCCCUGCUCACCAUGCCUUGUCUCACCAUCCAGUCACUGAGGCUUUUCCCGCAGCCGCCUCCCAUCUGGGUGAGAGAGAGUCACGCUGAUGGCGGAGGGACGGCAGCGCCAGGGCCACUGGAGGGCGCGGCUUCUAACAGGGGUGCGCCUUUCGGGUCAGGAGGCCUGCUGCCACUUUGGGAGGCGUGUGUGUGUAGGGGUGUGUGUAGGUGUGUAAGGGUGUGUAUGUAGGUGUAUGAGUGUAGGUGUGUGUGUAGGUGUAUGAGUGUAGGUUUGUAUGUGUAGGUGUAGGUUGUGUAGGUAUAGAUGUAUGUGGUGUGUGUAGGUGGUGUGUGUAGAUGUGUGUGGUGUGUGUAGGGGUGUGUGUGCAGGUGUGUAGGUGUAUGAGUGUGUAGGGGUGGUAUAUGCAGGGGUGUGUAUGUAGGUGUAUGAAUGUAGGUGUGUAUGUGUAGGUGUAGGUGUGGGUAGGUGUAGGUGUGUGGUGUGUGUAGGUGUGUAUGUGUAGGUGUAGGGGUGUGUGUGUAGGUGUGGUGGGUGUAGAUGUGUGUGUGGUGUGUGUGUAGGUGUAUGAGUGUGUAGGUGUGGUGUGUGUAAGGGUGUGUGUAGGUGUAUGAGUAUAGGUGUGGUGUGUGUAGGUGUGGGUGUAGAUGUGUGUGUGGUGUGUGUAGGGGUGUGUGUAGGUGUAUGAGUGUAGGUGUGGUGUGUGUAGGUGUGUGUGGUGGGUGUAGAUGUGUGUGUGGUGUGUGUAGGUGUAUGAGUGUGUAGGUGUGAUGUGUGUAGGGGUGUGUGUAGGUGUAUGAAUGUGUGUGUGUAGGUGUGUGUGGUGGGUGUAGAUAUGUGUGUGUGGUGUGUGUAGGGCUGUGUGUGUAGGUUUAUGAGUGGAGGUGUGUGUGGAGGUGUGUGGUGGGUGUAGAUGUGUGUGGUGUGUGUGUGGGGGUGUGUAGGUGUAUGGGUGUGUAGGUGUGGUGUGUAGGGCUGUGUGUGUAGGUGUAUGAGUGGAGGUGUGUGGAGGUGUGUGUGGUGGGUGUAGAUGUGUGUGUGGUGUGUGUAGGGGGGUGUGUGUAGGUGUAUGAGUGGAGGUAUGACGUGUGGAGGUGUGUGUGGUGGGUGUAGAUGUGUGUGUGGUGUGUGUAGGGGUGUGUGUAGGUGCAUGAGUGUGUAGGUGUGGUGUGUGUGUAGGGGUGUCUGUGUAGGUGUAUGAGUGUAGGUGUGUGUGGAGGUGUGUGUGGUGGGUGUAGAUGUGUGUGUGGUGUGUGUGUAGGUCUAUGGGUGGAGGUGUGGUGUGUGGAGGUGUGUGUGGUGGAUGUGGCGGCUGGUGUAGAGGGAUGAGGCAGGUAUUGUGGUACCCACCGG